rnacentral:RNase_P_RNA from 1 species
AGAUUUUAUUUGUCAAUCGCUGUAUCUGAAAGAUGAUAUAGAGGAAACUCCACGCUUGCACAGCCUGUGAUGGUUGUAGUGAUUAUGCUAGACGAAUAAAUAAGUCUAGGCAGUAUAUUUUACUGACGGCAUAACUAAGCUAAGGUGAAAGCUAUGCAACAGUUAUGAAGUGCCACAGAGACGAGUAUAGGGAAACCUUGAAAUGGAACGCGGUAAACCCCAUAAGCAAGAAACUCAAAUUUUGGUAGAGGAAUCUAGUUAAGAGAAACAGAAUCAAAAUUAGAAGCAGAAAUGCUAGAUAGAUGAUUGACACUAGUAAUAGUACAGAACGUGGGUUAUAAAUAGAGUCUCAUC